rnacentral:rRNA from 1 species
GAUGAACGCUGGCGGCGUGCCUAAUACAUGCAAGUCGAGCGAACAGACGAGGAGCUUGCUCCUCUGACGUUAGCGGCGGACGGGUGAGUAACACGUGGAUAACCUACCUAUAAGACUGGGAUAACUUCGGGAAACCGGAGCUAAUACCGGAUAAUAUAUUGAACCGCAGGGUUCAAUAGUGAAAGACGGUUUUGCUGUCACUUAUAGAUGGAUCCGCGCCGCAUUAGCUAGUUGGUAAGGUAACGGCUUACCAAGGCAACGAUGCGUAGCCGACCUGAGAGGGUGAUCGGCCACACUGGAACUGAGCCACGGUCCAGACUCCUACGGGAGGCAGCAGUAGGGAAUCUUCCGCAAUGGGCGAAAGCCUGACGGAGCAACGCCGCGUGAGUGAUGAAGGUCUUCGGAUCGUAAAACUCUGUUAUUAGGGAAGAACAAAUGUGUAAGUAACUAUGCACGUCUUGACGGUACCUAAUCAGAAAGCCACGGCUAACUACGUG